rnacentral:tRNA from 1 species
CCUGCCUUCGAAGAAUAACAGCUCAUUCGUUGGUCUUAGGAACC